rnacentral:rRNA from 1 species
AUUAGAAUGACUCUCGGCAACGGAUAUCUAGGCUCUUGCAUCGAUGAAGAACGUAGCGAAAUGCGAUACUUGGUGUGAAUUGCAGAAUCCCGUGAACCAUCGAGUCUUUGAACGCAAGUUGCGCCCGAUGCCAUUAGGUUGAGGGCACGUCUGCCUGGGUGUCACAU